UUGCACACACACGUGCGUUUUCUUCUCCCUAUUCCUCAUGUUAAAAUAAACAUGGUUACAAGUCUGCAAGUAGCACACACGCAGCCCGGCGCCAACCUGCUCCGGUUUUAUGCCACUCAUGACCAUCUCCGGCAUCUCAACUCGCACAUUUGAUGAAACAGAACUCCCACGCAGAUAUAGCCACACGGCAAACUACUGGAUCACCACCUAACCUAGGUGCAAAGCCAAAAUACAUAUGCAGAUACACAAGUAGUAACGAUUAAAGCUAACACCCGUGUCCGCCCACCGCUGCACCGGGGGGUUUGUGUCUGGUGGAUGCAUGGCAUGGCCCCUGUCCUCCCGCGACGGGUCCAUGAGCGUCGACGCCGGUUCAACGGCCGCAGCCGCCGCGAGCAGCAGCAGCAGCAGCGACCCCCGCCACAUGUCGUCGGCCCGGUGCCGGCGCCGGCGCUUGAUCUCUCUGCGUUAUUUCGUUUGCAGGGAUGCAGAAACAGAGAGCAUUUUCUACGUCAGAAUCGCAGAGCUGGACCAGCCUUUAAAAAUAUAUCAAGAUUUUUCUCACCGAGGAAGGGGGAUUGGCGGUGGCCGGGAGCAGCUUGAGCUCCUCCGUGCACUCUGUGUCAAUGGGAGAGGAGUGCCAGGCGAGUGUCGGGUGAGAUUGGCAUGGAGAUGAUUUUGGAAGGAAAUUUAAAGGGAUCG
rnacentral:lncRNA from 1 species